UGCAUAGGAAUCUGCCUAUUAGUGGGGGACAACAUGUGGAAACGCAUGCUAAUACCGCAUACGCCCUACGGGGGAAAGCGGGGGCUCUUCGGACCUCGCGCUAAUAGAUGAGCCUAUGUCAGAUUAGCUAGUUGGUAGGGUAAGAGCCUACCAAGGCAACGAUCUGUAGCUGGUCUGAGAGGAUGAUCAGCCACACUGGGACUGAGACACGGCCCAGACUCCUACGGGAGGCAGCAGUGGGGAAUAUUGGACAAUGGGCGCAAGCCUGAUCCAGCAAUACCGCGUGUGUGAAGAAGGCCCGAGGGUUGUAAAGCACUUUCAAUGGGGAGGAUACCUGUUCAUCUAAUACCGGACAGACUGACAUUACCUAUAGAAGAAGCACCGGGCUAACUCCCGUGCCCAGC
rnacentral:rRNA from 1 species